AGGCAUAGGAGACAGCCCGCUGGGAAGAACGUGCAUUCCCAGUACCCUAGAAGAAUUUCUAAAUUUCCAUGGGUAAAUGUCCCAUCUGUCUCAAGUUUUAAAGAUGGAACUGGCAGAUCAACAGAUGCAUCAGGUGAGUGAAGCGUAUAUUUGGCUCAUACUUAUUAACACAGCUGACAACCAGAAGUUGACAACUGAAUGUACCUCAUGCCUUAGAAUUUUAUUUAUUUAGUUAGGUUUUUUUCUUUCUUUCCUCUUAAUUUGAAGAAUCAGCUCUGGGAGUUCAGCGGGCUUGGUAAAUCAGUUAUAUAACAGAGUCUCCUGCCCCUGGUGAAAUUGAUUGGGAGAUAUCAGUGAUUGAGUUGGUGUGAAUCACAUAUUCUGAGGAGAAUCCAACAAAAUCUCUUUCCAAUGUCCCCACUUACCUUUUCUCAUGUGUUUUCUGCUCCUACAAGUAAAUUCUGCAUCCUGGAAGCUUUCCUCAUUUCCCAGUCCUUCCCGCUGGGUGGGAUUGAUGUUGGCAAUCCAGAAGCCUAGGAUUGCAGCUGUUUUCCUCUUGCUUAUUGGGUGCCGCCACCAAUACCUUCUACUCGUCAAGCUCCUACCCAUCUGAUGUUGCUGAGACCAGGAUUCAGUGAGAAAUGAUAGAUAACUGUCUCCAAGGGUCACCUUAAAAAUAUUUUAUAAAUACUUAAUGCUACAUUUUACUUUAGCUAAAUUCACUCAGAUUGUUUCUACAAACACAUCUGUGUGAAAUCUGAUAAAUGGAAAUAUAAAAAUCUGUUUCAUCUAUUUGGCUUCUUUUGGAAUGCCAUUCCUGCUUCUUUUCAGAUGACAGCACUUUUGGCAGGAAGCAACUUGUAUCAUUGAUCCUAGGAAGGUGGCCAGCUACCAGUGACUUCAAAUGGAGAUAAGCCUCCUUGCAUUGAGAUCUGGUCGCCUUUCCCCAAAGCCCUGAUGAAUGUGAGGAUGCAGAGUAUUUAUGUUUUCCUAGCUUCCCUCGAGUGAUGUAGCCAUCUGGCAUGCAGCUUUUGUGCAGCUUUGCUGUGGUGUAAUUGCAAAACUAUUAUUUCAUUCAGUGCAUCACCCUGGUUGCCUUUACUUUUUAUAUUACUCAUAAAUGAAACCAUACAUUAUUUAUUACAAUUCAGGGGAAUUGUUCUUUGCUGGGUUUAUGUUUGGGGCAGUUGUGGAAAUGUAAUGUAGGAGCCAGUGUUUGCUUUGUAAGAAAUCUCAGAGUGUUUUCAAAGUUAGGUUAAACCCAGGGCCUCAAGUCUCUUCUCAAGUGAGGGGUGUGUUUCAAGAUUUGGUGAGGCCUUUGUGAAUGCUGAAGGAUAUUAACUCCACCCAGAUGUUCACUGCAGUCUAGUUUCAGUAUUUCCAUGAUGAGUCUCUGGACCAAUCUAGAUGCCAAACUCAGAAUAUCUUUAGAGUUUAUGGCAAAAAAAACCAAAACAAAACCAAAAACAAUUUUUUUUUCUGAUUUAACUUUAUAAGAAAGGUGGGAGAGGGGAUUUUUGUCACAUAUCUCAUUGCACCAACUUAAAACAAAUCCUCUUUAGAAAUAUUUGUUCUCCUCCAGAGCCCUUUCUUGGUUGCUUUGUCUGCAUGGGUUUGUUUUGCCUUUUGCUUUUUUGAGCAGCAUUUGGGCUCUUCUUUUGUGCUCCUUGGUUGCUGUCACUCAAUCUCCUUAUUGUUAGCCUGUCUACUAGAUUUAGGCCACUCAUAUUAAGUGUUUUCCCUUCUAUACUGGUUGUCUUUUCAACCCAACACAUCAGUGCCUUGAGAUAGAGGAGGGAGUCCUCAUUACUCCAACUCUUUAUUUAAUGUUUCUUGGACUGAAAGCUUUGCUUUACCUCUUAGUGUGUCAACUAGUACUCUUGUUGACUUACUCUUCCAGUUUCCUAAAAUGCCUUCUUUUAUAGAAUUUUCCAUAAGUGCCCUGGGACUGGAUUAGGAGAGUAUGAAGGAUGACCAUAUGAAGAGCAUUAAAACCUGAUCCUCCUCCAUGACAUUUAACCAGAAGCUGAGUUCUAACCACUGGACUUGGGGUGAGAGCUCAUAGGACUUACGAUGAAAACCAAGCAUGCUUCACAAAACCAGAACCUUUGGUUGUUUGAAUGCCUUGUCUCUUCCACACUUAGCUAGAGUAACUUUUGAUUACUCUCUCUCUCCUUUUUUUUUUUUUUUUUUUUUUUUGUGUGUGUGUGUGUGUGUGUGUGUGUAAGAUGGAUAUGUUUCUGCAGAAACAAUUGCCACUGUCAUUGCCAUGCACCAUCAAAAUGGACUGGAAAACUGCUGACAUGACUAUGUGGGUGAAAACAGGUUCUGUCACCAGCUUUUUAGAACAUCUGCAGGGAGAGGCUACUCCAUUAAAGACUAAUGUCCAAGUUUAGAAACUAAAAAGUCUAUGACCCAGGGUUUAAAAUUAAGCAGCAGCUGGUGGUUCACAGGCAUGAUGGUGGAGACCCAAGGAGCCUAUUCAAUGAAAACUAAAGAAGCAGAAACUCAGACCUGAGUUUUCCUAGUGAUACUGAUGAUGAGAGUCUUGAGCUUGAUGAAAAUGAAAUAUGACGUACAGCUACAAAAUAUGGCCUUGGAAAAAAAUCUUAAAAUUAUUUUAAAAAGAGGGGCUACUUAAAAUUUAAAAAAUUAACACAUUUUAAAGAUAUUUUCCAUUAAGAGUUACUACAAAAUAUUGGCUAUAUUUCCUGUGGUGUAAAAUACAUCCUUGAGCCUAUCUUAAUAGUCUGUAUCUCCCACUCCCCGAUUCCUGUAUUGCCCAUCUUCUUUCCCCACUGGUAACCACUAAUUUGUUCUCUAUAUCUGAGUCUUCUUCUUCUUUUGUUAUUUUUAUUUUUAUUUUUGUCUGCACCUGUGGAGUGUGGAAUUUCCUAGGUCAGGGAUAGAACCUGUGACGCAGUUGUGACCUGAGCCGCAGCUGCAGCAGCACUAAAUCCUGAACUUGCGAUGCCACAUGAGAAUGUCAUGAUAUAUUUUUUACAUUCUGCAUAUAAGCGAUAUCAUAGGAUAUUUGUCUUUGUCUGGCUUAUUUCACUUAGCAUUGUAUUUUUUUUUUGUGUAAACAUAUUUUGUUUCUAUGUGUUAAAGUAUGAAAUUGCAGUAAUUCAACAGUUUUUGGGAGUUCCCUUUGUGGCAUAGCAGAAACGACUCUGACUAGGAACCAUGAGGUUGCAGGUUUGAUCCCUGGCCUUGCUCAGUGGGUUAAGGAUCCAGUGUUGCAUGAGCUGUGGUGUAGGUCACAGAAGCGUCUUGGAUCUGGUGUUGCUGUGGCUGUGGUGUAGGCUGGCAGCUACAGCUCUGAUUGGACCCCCAGCCUGGGAACCUCCAUAUGCCGAGGGUGCAGCCCUAAAAAGACCAAAAAAAGCAAAACAAAACAGUUUUUGAUUUACAAAAAUGGAGGGUACUCUGAAUGCUAUCUUUGUUGGAGCCACUGAGUCCUCCUCUUGGGCCUCUCCUGACCUGGUAUGGAAUACACUGAGUAUAUCAUUCCUAAAUAUCAGUUGCUGCCAUGAACUAUUCUUGCUGCAAUACUCUAGUGGGAACAAAAUAAAAUCAAGAGUAGGAGUUCCUGUCAUGGCACAGUGGAAACAAAUCAGACUAGGAACCAGGAGGUUGUGGUUUUGAUCCCUGGCCUCAGUCAGUGGGUCAAGAAUCUGGUGUUGCCGUGAGCUGUGGUAUAGGUUGCAAACAUGGCUUGGAUACUGCGUUGCUGUGGCUGGAGGCUACAGCUCCAAUUAGACCCCUAGCCAGGGAACCUCCGUAUGCUGUGGGUGCGGCCCUAAAAGGCAAAACAAAACCAAAACCAACCAAUCCAAAAAAACCGAGUAAUAAGGGAGUUUCCACUGUGGCACAGUAGAUUAAUGAUCCAGUUUGUCUCUGUAGAGGUUUAAUUCUGAGUCGGACACAGUGGGUUAAGGAUUCAGUGUUGCAGAAGCUAUGUUGUUGUUCAGUGUUGGUCACAGCUCCAGCUUGGAUU
rnacentral:lncRNA from 1 species